AUUGAACGCUGGCGGCAGGCUUAACACAUGCAAGUCGAACGCGUGGCGGACGGGUGAGUAAUGCUUGGGAAUCUAGCUUAUGGAGGGGGAUAACUACGGGAAACUGUAGCAAAUACCGCGUACCAUAGGAUGAGCCCAAGUGGGAUUAGGUAGUUGGGGGGGUAACGGCACACCAAGGCGACGAUCUCUAGCUGGGCUGAGAGGAUGACCAGCCACACUGGGACUGAGACACGACCCAGACUCCUACGGGAGGCAGCAGUGGGGAAUAUUGCGCAAUGGGGGCAACCUGACGCAGCCAUGCCGCGUGAAUGAAGAAGGCCUUCGGGUUGUAAAGUUCUUUCGGUAGCGAGGCGUUAACUACAGAAGAAGCACCGGCUAACUCCGUGCCAGCAGCCGCGGUAAUUC
rnacentral:rRNA from 1 species